UGUACCGUGGGCUGUGGUCCCUCCGUCCGAGGCUGGCACUGCUGGCUCUCGGGGCUUCCUCUGGUUGGCAGACGCAGAGGUUGUUACCCCAUCAGAGGCAGGGUGAGCGCCUGUGUGCAUCACCACGGCAUUCACACAGUGCCUGCAUCACACCCCACGGCCUGGUGCCCCCAACCCAACAGGAAGGGACCUGCUAAGAAACGCUGGCCGAAAAGACACAAAGUACAACCAACAGUUGUCUGAGUCUGCUGGGACCACCAUAACCAAGGUGGUUGAAUUAAUCAGUGAAGACCCUGGCGAUACGGAGGGCUAUUCUUCAUAAAUAAUAAAGGCACCCUCUCCUCUGUUCAGAAGGGAGAAUGAUUUCAAGUUCUCCUGCACAAGAGUAUGGUGCAACCUCACAAGCAGUUCCUGGAAAAUGGACCAAGAGACUCUUCCAAAGAAAGAGGACUUCUCAUGUUAAGACAUUCCCAGGGUCAACAUGAUUGUGAAAGGGAAAAGUCCAGAUCUACUCAGGACACUGAGGCAGCCGCUACAAUGCUUCUACAGACGCUCCUGAAAGAGGGCUUCCAGAACUGCUUCAGAAAGAGGCAAGAGUGGUGGGAGGAGGUUUAUUGUGAGGGGAGUUAAUGGCAGUGUGUCUUUUACUAUAAUAAAACUUUUUAAAUGAAGCACCAAAAGAAAAAAAAGAAAGAAAGAAAAGGAGAAAAGACUUCUCCAGGCUCUUGAAGGCCAUGGCCUAAAGCCGUCCUUGAUGGUUAUCAUCCCGCAGGACGCUCCACAGUCCUCAGCCUGCGGCAGGAGAAGCAAAUGAGAAGAAGCCAAGCACAGGGGCCUGCGGGCACCUCUGAGCGCUGCUUUGGGCUUAGGAACCUGCUUUAUUUCAUGCUAUGCACAUGUGUUACCUAUUCAGACAUCAAUAAAAUAUACUGAAAGUCAUAA